CACAUCCCUGGCCCAGCAGCCCCUGUGGGACUGCAAUCUGGCCAACAAGCCCUGCACAUCCCUCCCUUGGGGUAUCAAACCCCACCAUAUCCUGCCCAGGGCCACUUGCCUCUCUGGGCAGUUAGGGCUUGCUGGGGAGCCCCACAAGAGCAUCACCCCCCUGGGCUCAUCCAUCUCCUGCAGAGAGAAAUCCCCACUGAGCCCUCUGGAACACUGACCAUUUGCUGGCCACACUGUCCUUCCAGCAGCAGCGUAACACUCUGGCCGUGUUGCCGCCAUUCCUGCCGCCAUUCCCACCGCUGGCCCCCGCACACAAGCCAGGCUGGGCUUCGACACGCUGGAGCCAUGCUGUCAGUGGUGCCUGAAGUUAAUCACUGUUUAUGCAAUUGCAGGUUGCUUUUUCUGUCCAAGAAGCUGCUAAAACAGGCAUGUUCGGCAGCGCGCUGGAGUGAGUGGCACAGUGGGACUGGUGCUUAGCCUUGAGGGGGAGAGGUGCUGCCUCAGCACGUGCUGAGGGGACUCCCCACCAGCGCUGUGCCCAUGCAGGGAGGGGGUGGGAGCAGCCACGAUGUCAGUGAGGUACCCACAAAGUGCCUGUUCCCCUGCCCUCUGCACAACUGCACACAGGGAAGUGGCAGAUCCUGUUUUGGGCCAUAGAAUAACAGAAUGGUUUAGGUUAGAAGGGACCUUAAAGAUCAUCUGGUUCUAACUCCCCUGCCAUAGGCAGGGAUGCCACCCACUAGAUCAGGUUGCUCAGGGCUCCAUCUGGCCUUGAACGCUUACAGGAAUGGAGCAUCCGCAGCUUCUCUGGGCCACUUGGGUCUCAGGGAUCAUGCAUGGUUGAUUGAUGCUGGAACCAUCAGGACCAGGAUAACACCAUGUAUCUCACUGGUGCUGUCAGUUAGCAUCAGCUCUCAGAGCUCUGCUUUGCUACAGCUCACGGUCUCCAGUAGAAAGGAUCAAAAAUUGCAUGUGCCCACUCUGCCUCCACCAGGGCACCAGGCCCUGGUGCCCCCAGUGGAGCCAGCCCAGGUAGCCUGGUGCCAGCGCUGCAGGGACAUGGAGACUGAGGCAGUCUGUGGCAGGGGUUUGCCUGAAGCUUCCCAGGUUCAGGGCAGCAUCCAGAAGACCUCCAAAGGCUCAGGGACCCUCUGUGCUGGCCCAUCUGGCUCACAGUGAAAGGGGCUACAGGGCUGCUCAUAGACUGGGCUGGGUGACUCACUCCCGGAAUUGCCACAGCACAUCACACCCCAAGUCUGAUGAGCUAUGGCAAUAUUCCGGGGAACUCAGGCUCAGCAGGAUUGCCUGGCAUAUGAAGAGGGUGCUUUUGGGGUCUUAACACUGGCAGGGCUGGAACUGGUGGGUUUGCAGCCCCAUGGGGACCCAGGUGUAGUUCCCAGUGACCUCCAUCAUCAGUCCCGACCACAUCCUUGUCCACAUGAUUAAGCAAUAUCCCUAAGCAAGGUCUGGGCACCAUCUAGUGGAAUAAAAAGCCUUUUGGUGGGAAUGUUUUGUGCCUGUUGAAUGAUGCCCAGCUCUGCCUGAUUGGCACUGCUGCCCUCUUGCCCCAUUGCUUCCCUGCUUGCCUGAAUGGCAAGGUCAGGUAUAAAACAGGCUAGUUCAGGUAUAAAUGGCAUACAGCUACAAACCAGCAUUACCUCCUUGCACAGUUACUGUUAAAGCACCUGGAAUUUCUGUGCCUGAAUUUCUGGCUCUAUACCCAGGGGCACACAGCAUUUUGGCAUGCUCACUCUGAACCCUCUCCUCACCACCACCAAGGUGCCUGGCUCUGCUCUUCCAAACUCACCUGGCAAAUAGCACAAGUGGCCACUGAACAGAAAAACUGCGAGUUUUCCAGGGAAAAGGUUUUCCUGGAGUAUUGGAUCAAAGUGGGGAGUGAAGAGUGAUAAGUACUUUCUGUGGGUACAGAGCAAAAAAGAUAUUGUCCCUAAAAAUCCCAGCUACUCUUACAAAUGCUAAUUGUGGGGAUGUGGCCAGGUGAGUAUGGGUGGUUGUUUAUUCAGGUAAAUGUCACGCUUAGAGAAGAAACAGCCAUUACUGUGUGCUAUCUCUGCUUUCUGGAGCCUAAAAGCCCUCACACAUGAGGUGCUGAGGGUUUUCUUUAGCACCUGUGGCAGUGAAAACCCCUGAGAUUUUGCAAAAGUGGAUUUCUCUUAACAUUGGUUUUGCAUAUAUGCUGGCACAUGCAGCAGUACUGGAAAAAGCAGGUGCUGGAUGAAAAAGUCAUCAGGUCCCCUGUGAGUCAAGUGAGCCAGAUGAGGGGAGGUUGAUCUGUGACCCCUGCUCGGGGAUUACCACAGCAGGCCAGCUGGGCAAGGCUCAGGUCAGGUCCUUUGCCCAAAGCACACACAGCUGCACAGGUUUUCCAGUGAUGUAUCUUGGAGCAGCAUCGUCAUUGAGGAAACCUGCUGAACUCAGCCUUUGCGUAUUAAACCCCUUGAGGAAGCCUUCUUACCUCUUCCAGGGUUGUGAUCUGCCCAAUUUCACUAUCAUGCUACUGUUUCAGGCCAGCGAAGUUGCAAAGAACUGCAAAAAUGCUUCUUAAAAGAAGUCUAGAAAACAGUGAUGAGCUUUGAGGAACCAUUUGAAGGGGCAAGCAUCAGUCCAAAUGGCAUCUUUUACAGGUUUAGAAGCUGGGUACCGCAAACAGGGUGUUGGGCACCAACCUUUAGCAUUGAGCUUAAAAAGAAGUUUUGAACUGUAUGUUUUUAGGUACAGAGCUCGACACUGACUGUGCAGAGCAGGCCAGGUGGUGCCCAUCACCAAUAGCUCUGCUCAGUGCGCAGAUACUUUCACGGCUGUGUGGGGGCAGCCCGGAGAGACACAGGUCCCCCUUAUAACACCAUGUUUUUUCAGAAGAGGGCAAAACCAGGCUGCCUGAUGGAGCAGCUGAAAGCAGUACCUCUCAAAAGAAGAGGAACACGGCUAUAGAACAAUAAUGAUUUUUCCCCUCACCUCCUGUAGUUACUCAGUGCCAUCAUCCCGUGCCAAGGAGCAGGGACUAAGAUGGACUGAAAUACCACUCAGACCCCAGCAAACCCCUCCUCCCGGUGCUCAGCCUUCCUGCUAAGCUGACAGCCAAACCUGGGCAACUGCAGGGGCCCUGAGCACAUUCAGAUUUUUGGAGGAUGGAAGAUGCUCCAAAACCUCCAUCCUUUGCCAAGAGAAGCACUUAGUGCCAUUGAAAAGGGGGCAAAUCAGUCCCAGCAAUAAGAAACCUACCUGAGUUUUUCUUCUGCAGAACAAGCCACUCACUACUGCCUCCCAUGAAGGGCUUCAAAAAUGUUUUUACUUAAUCCAAACUGUCUCAAUAUGUAUUUCUCUAAUAGACCAUCCACCAGCACUUCCCCGUGAAGAGACUGGGAAAUGUGUUCUGAGGUCACAACCAUUGCUAUAGUCAAGCAAAGGCACAAUUUGACACAUGAAUUGCAAUGCAAUUCUCAGUGGGACUAGUGAAAAUUAUUAUAAGUCAAUAUUAUCAUCUUUUGGGGGCUUCUUUUGGUAAUCCUUGCCUAUUUCCCUGCAUCCUUAUGGUGGAUUUAGAAGAACUGCUAUGCAGGGCUGCUUUGGGGAGUGCAAUCCUAUCCCUGUGCUGAGCUGUGUGGGGAGUCAGGUGUCACGCUCCCUCCCAUCAAUAACCCACCAUAUGUCCCUGGAAGCCUGAGAGGAUGAUGCAGCCCUCUUUCACUUGGGUCCCCCUGGCAGCAAAACCAACUUGCCCAUGGGCAGGCGCCUGUGGGCAAACACAGCCACGGUCAUGGGCCUGAAGGACCGAGCUAGUUGCUGGACCUCUGUUGCCUUGUGGAGUCCAGUUGUUUGUCUACCCACAGCUCAAAAUCAUUUUAGUUAUUAGUGAGUCAAAGAGUGAGAAGCAGUACCAACCCAGCUGGGGUGGCAAGUGGGUUUUCUUGUCAUUGUACAUUUUCUUGUCAUCAGUGAUCACCCUGCAGCAGUCUAUGUCUGUAUAUGACAUCUUAUACUACAUUCACCUUCUUAAAUUACUUUAUGACCCUUGCUCUGAUCUCCAGGGUACCCCUGAUUUGGGAGAGUACAGAGCUCAAAACCUCUGGCCAGUGAACCAUGCAUUUCUCAUUUAUGUGUUGCUUUCUCCUGACAAAAAAUGGUGGCAAACCAUAGCCAUCAGUGAAAAUCCCAAUGCUGCUUUUCCAGGGUGAUUAAUAUAGAAGCCAGCUCAAUCUGGGCUUAGUUUACACUGUUGGCUAUAAUUAACCUUUUAUUUUUGGAAGUUAAUAGAUGUAAACUUCUUCCUUCAUGAAAUGGAAAGGUAAGGGGUGUUUCAGAGGUCUUACCCCUUGCUUUAAAGCUGGUCCACAUGGAAGGAGAUAGAACAGGUAUUGGCCUUUGCAGCUUUUGUGGGAUGCACAGAGAAGGGGCAAGAGAUUUCCCUCCCUUCCACCACCGAGUGAUGAGUAUUUUCAAUAGUGGCUUUAGUUAAAAAGUGUUGUGUCUUACAACAAACAUUUUUUCAGCCCCCUGCUGUGAUCCUUAGCAGCAAUGAGGAAGAUCAAGCCUGAUAGCCUUCAAAUGUUCAACUUACUAAAAGCUACCCCUCCUUUUCCUCAGUGCUCUCUCCUCCCUUACUCCUAAUAACACAAUCCUGCUAAAAGCCAUCCAGUCCCACCCUGAAAUACAAGUGGGACUUGAUCCCAAUACAAGUGGGGCUGGUUCCACUCAGCCAACCUCAGCUGCACCUGGACAGGGUCCCUGCCUUAAUAUAUGGGAUGUUUCAUACUCCAGCAAACCCAGUUGUACUUCAUCUCAGCCUGAACGCUCUUGCUUUCCAAAAAUCUUGGAUCCAAAGGGCAGAGGCUUAGAUUAAAAAAAAAAAUCCUAAAGGAGAUUUAAUGCUUGAUAUACAAAUGUUAAGAUGCUAGAGCAAUUCCAAAUAUAUAUUUAAUCUAUGAAUAAUUAAGUACCCCAAACCAGCAACGAAUAUGAGGAAUGAAGGAUGUGAAUAUGAUGACUGAAAUGAGUUUCUGUCAAUUCCCAGACACAGGACUGAGAAAAAUGGGAGAGUCAUCCCCAAACAUCCUUAAACUCUCAACACUUUGACAAUUACCUAAAAGCAACAGUUGGAAUAACAGAGAAAUUUUUCAGAGCAGGGCCUUGGGGGGGAAGGUGCUGUCUCCAGAAGCAGAGCAAACCUUCUCCUAACCCUGUCAUGAAAUGCUCAGCAGAGGAACAGUUGAACACCUGAAAACUUCAAGACUUUAGAGACUUGAAAUAAGGAUCUAAAUUGUUAGAUUUUCACCAGUUUGGGUUGGGGGGGAGAGGGAAGUUUGAUGUCAUUUUAAUUGGCUUUAA